GUCUGUUUCCCACUGAAAAAGUUGUUAUGUGGCUAAAGAGCUAUAUAUAAAACAUCAGUUCAGAAACAUUUCUCGUGCUGUAUAAUUAAUUCUAAGUGAUAUAUGCACAGAAAACGGAGACCAUAUGUGGUAGAGAGGAAUCUGAUGAAGUCCCCCAAAUACUCCUGUUUUCUGGUUAUUCAAACAAACACUAAUCUAGAUAUCUGUGUAAAGAAAUAUUACAGAUGGAAUUAGAAUCACUGAUCGGCUGACUUUAAUUUAGGGGAAUUAUUCAGCAUUAUCCAUGUGAGUCCAGUGUAAUCACAUGGGCCCUUAAAAGCAGAAACCAAAGCAGAA
rnacentral:lncRNA from 1 species